CUAUCAUCCCUAGUAGCGGCGAGCAAGGCGGGAAGAGCUCAAAUUUAUAAUCUGGCACCUUCGGUGUCCGAGUUGUAAUCUCUAGAAAUGUUUUCCGCGUUGGACCGCACACAAGUCUGUUGGAAUACAGCGGCAUAGUGGUGAGACCCCCGUAUAUGGUGCGGACGCCCAGCGCUUUGUGAUACAUUUUCGAAGAGUCGAGUUGUUUGGGAAUGCAGCUCAAAUUGGGUGGUAAAUUCCAUCUAAAGCUAAAUAUUGGCGAGAGACCGAUAGCGAACAAGUACCGUGAGGGAAAGAUGAAAAGCACUUUGGAAAGAGAGUUAACAGUACGUGAAAUUGUUGGAAGGGAAACGCUUGAAGUCAGACUUGCUUGCCGAGCAAUCGGUUUGCAGGCCAGCAUCAGUUUUCCGGGAUGGAUAAUGGUAGAGAGAAGGUAGCAGUUUCGGCUGUGUUAUAGCUCUCUGCUGGAUACAUCUUGGGGGACUGAGGAACGCAGUGUGCCUUUGGCGGGGGUUUCGACCUCUUCACACUUAGGAUGCUGGUGGAAUGGCUUUAAACGACCCGUCUUGAACCACGGAC
rnacentral:rRNA from 1 species